UAUAACGAUGAUGAUUCUUCUAUAUAUGCACUGAACCUUCAUGUGGCUUGCAAUACGAGCUUUUUAACCCUGAUACAA
rnacentral:snoRNA from 1 species